AAGGUAAUUGUAACUAACAAGGAAUGAUCUAGUAACUGCGAGUGAAAAGUCGUUAUGUCAAUCUUGAAUUCUAUUGAAGUUGUGAUUCUCGGCUUAUGUGCCCAUGUGACUAAAGAUUCCUGGAAAGGAACACCAGAGGCGGUAAAAGUCCGCAUAUGUUGCGAAGGGUUACUGUCGGGAUUAGAGUCGUGUUGUGUGUGAUUGCAAUGCAAAGUUGGAGGUUAUGCACUCCUAAACAAUGUAAUGAAUGUGGAUCCGAUAGCGAACAAGUACCAUGAGGGAAAGUUGAAAAGCACUUUGAAAAGAGAGUGAAAAGUACGUGCAAACCGUUUGGACAAAAGGGCAUAAGUGGGAACAAGGCGAUGACUCUUGCGAGUUGGUAAGCCGAUUAACUUUGUUGGUGCUAAUCUAUUUCACUUGCUGUUAUGCAUGUGAUACCGGUGUUACGAAUAGAGUGUUGUUCUGUAUUUUGCCUCCCGUCUUGAAACACGGACCAAGGAGUUUGAGCGGUCAGCAAGUCACAAAGAAGUAGACUCUUGAAGGCGCAAAGAAAUUGAAUCAAUCUCUGUAUUGUUACGGCCGUUAACUCGAAAGAACUAAGCGGCGGAUAGCUCCUUGUGGGCUGAUUCGGAGCUGACUGAACGAGACCCGAAAGAUGGUGAUCUAUGCUUAGACAGGAUGAAGCCACGGGAAACCAUGGUGGAAAUCCGAAGCGGUUCUGACGUGCAAAUCGAUCGUGUGAUCUUGGUAUAGGGGCGAAAGACUAAUCGAACCAUCUGGUAGCUGGUUCCCUCUGAAGUUUCCCUCAGGAUAGCAGACGUUACGUUUACAGUUUUAUGGGUUAGAGCGAAUGAUUAGAGGUCCGGGAGAUUGCGUAUUUUCCACCUAUUCUCAAACUUCGAAUCGGUAAUGUUUGACAGUACUGCAGUAACACUGUCAAUCAAAUGUUAAUGUCUAGUGGGCCUUUUUUGGUAAGCAGAACUGGCGAUGUGGGAUGAACCAAUAGCUAAAUUUAGGCGUCUAAACUAAGCUCAUGAGUAACCAUGAAAGGUGUUGAUCGAUAUAGACAGCAGGACAGUGGCCAUGGAAGUUGGAAUCUGCAAAGGAGUGUGUAACAACUCACCUGCCGAAUCAAUCAGCCCUGAAAAAGGAUGACACUAGAGCUUGGUGCUCAGAUUUGGCUGUAAUAGGCAAAUACAAAGUGUUUAACUAUUGCAAGUAAGAGGGUACGGUGGUUGCGUAGACCUGUGUUUGUGAGAAUGCAGAGAGCGGCCAUCGGAGCUGAUCUUGGUGGUAGUAGCAAUUAUUCAAGUGAGAUCCUUGAGAACCUAAGUGGAGAUUGGCUUCCAUGUGAACAGUGAUUGAACGUGGGUAAGUCGCUCCUAAGCUGGAUGCGAAAGUUUCAUCAGUGACUUUGUCUGACAGCAAAAGGGAAUUGCGUUAAGAUUCUCAAACCUCGAUUGAAACAGCAAAUGGUGACAUGUUGAUUUCGGAUACGGUUUCACGUUGUUGGAUGAGAGUUUUCUUUUCUUCUUGACACAAAAAUAUCCGUGGAAAGGUGUUAGACCACGAAACGGAUAUCGUUUUGGCAGAAAAUGGCAGCAUUUGCAGUCUUCCAUGCAUCUGUGGGACUCCUUGAAAAUCCGAGCUCAUAACAUCAAUCGAGGGCGUACCAAUAACCGCAUCAGGUUCCCAAGGUGAGAAGCCUCUGGUUUGGAACAGUGUAGGUAAGGGAAGUCGGCAUAGUGGAUUCGGACCUUUGGUAUAAGGAUUGGCUCUGAGGACUGGGAUGUGGGAGCUAGUAACUUUGUGAGAUGUCGGCGUCGCAGUGGGAUGCUUGUUGUCCUGCGGCUUCACCGGUUGAUCAUUGAAGUAUGUGGUAGCCCAUUUCGUUUUACAGUCAAACUCAGAACUGACACUGACACGGGGAUUCCGACUGUCUAAUUAAAACAAAGCAUUGCGAUGGCAAGUGACUGAGUGUUGACGCAAUGUGAUUUCUGCCCAGUGCUCUGAAUGUCAAAGUGAAGAACUUCAAACAAGCGCGGGUAAACGGCGGGAGUAACUAUGACUCUCUUAAGGUAGCCAAAUGCCUCGUCAUCUAAUUAGUGACGCGCAUGAAUGGAUCAACGAGAUUCCUCCUGUCCCUAUCUACCAUCCAGCGAAACUACAGCUAGGGGAACGGGCCUAGUGUAAUCGGCGGGGAAAGAAGACCCUGUUGAGCUUGACUCUAGUUUGACAUUGUGAAGUGACUCGUGAAGUGUAGCAUAGGUGGGAGCAGGUGCAACUUUGAAAUACCACUAUUCGCGGUGUCAUUUUACUUAUCCGAUCGUGAUCUUGGUUCUUGUGACCUUCUUCAUUCAAUAACCCUUGCAUUCGUGGGGGCUUAUUAUCGGAGAAGGUGUCAGGCUGGGAGUUUGACUGGGGCGGUACAUCUGUAAAAAGAUAACGCAGGUGUCCUAAGGUUGACUCGGCGUGGACAGAAACCUCGCUGAGAGCAAAAAGGCAAAUGUCAGCUUGAUCUGUUUUUACAGUAUGAUUACAGACUGCGAAAGCGUGGCCUAUCGAUCCUUUUGAUUUUAGUGUAUUUAAGCAAGAGGUGUCAGAAAAGUUACCACAGGGAUAACUGGCUCGUGGCAGCCAAGCGUUCAUAGCGACGUUGCUUUUUGAUCCUUCGAUGUCGGCUCUUCCUAUCAUUGCGAAGCAGAAUUCGCAAAGUGUUGGAUUGUUCACCCACUAACAGGGAACGUGAGCUGGGUUUAGACCGUCGUGAGACAGGUUAGUUUUACCCUACUGAUGGCUUAACACUGUGACAGAAUUUUCACUUAGUACGAGAGGAACUGUGAAUACAAGCUUCUGGUUUCUACUGCUCUCCGAUCGGGAAGU
rnacentral:rRNA from 1 species